UACGUAGGGUGCAAGCGUUGUCCGGAAUUAUUGGGCGUAAAGAGCUCGUAGGCGGUCUGUCGCGUCGGCUGUGAAAUCCCGAGGCUCAACCUCGGGUCUGCAGUCGAUACGGGCAAACUGGAGUGUUGCAGGGGAGACUGGAAUUCCUGGUGUAGCGGUGAAAUGCGUAGAGAUCGGGAGGAACAUCAGUUGCGAAGGCGGCUCUCUGGACCAGCACUGACACUGAGGCACGAAAGCGUGGGGAGCAAACAGGG
rnacentral:rRNA from 1 species